GGUUGUGUAGUGUAGUGGCCAUUACUUCAGAUUUUGACAAGCGUUGUGUUUCUCAUCUUCUGAUAACCCCGAUUCGAACCCGGGCACGACCU